rnacentral:rRNA from 1 species
GCCGUGUAGUGGGGGAUAACGUAGCGAAAGUUACGCUAAUACCGCAUACGCACCGAGGUGGAAAGCAGGGGAUCGCAAGACCCUGCGCUAUACGAGCGGCCGAUGUCAGAUUAGCUAGUUGGUAGGGUAAAGGCCUACCAAGGCGACGAUCUGUAGCGGGUUUGAGAGGAUGAUUCGCCCCCCUGGGACUGAGACCCGGCCCCGACUCCUUCGGGAGGCAGCAGUGGGGAAUUUUGGACAAUGGGGGAAACCCUGAUCCAGCCCUGCCGCGUGAGUGAAGAAGGCCUUCGGGUUGUAAAGCUCUUUUGGCUGGGAAGAAAUCGCACCGGCUAAUACUCUGUGUGGAUGACGGUACCAGCAUAAGAAGCCCCGGCUAACUACGUG